GAAAACUUGAAAACAACUGUUGGAUCGAGAAAUGGACGUCCGAGAUUCGUCCACGUCACCAUGAGUUAAAAUUUAACUCUUAAAUUUUAACUCAUGGUGACGUGGACGAAUCUCGGACGUCCAUUUCUCGAUCCAACGGUAGUUUCCAAGUUUCC
rnacentral:pre_miRNA from 1 species